GAUGAACGCUGGCGGCGUGCCUAAUACAUGCAAGUCGAGCGAACGGACGAGAAGCUUGCUUCUCUGAUGUUAGCGGCGGACGGGUGAGUAACACGUGGAUAACCUACCUAUAAGACUGGGAUAACUUCGGGAAACCGGAGCUAAUACCGGAUGAUAUUUUGAACCGCAUGGUUCAAAAGUGAAAGACGGUCUUGCUGUCACUUAUAGAUGGAUCCGCGCUGCAUUAGCUAGUUGGUAUGGUAACGGCUUACCAAGGCAACGAUGCAUAGCCGACCUGAGAGGGUGAUCGGCCACACUGGAACUGAGACACGGUCCAGACUCCUACGGGAGGCAGCAGUAGGGAAUCUUCCGCAAUGGGCGAAAGCCUGACGGAGCAACGCCGCGUGAGUGAUGAAGGUCUUCGGAUCGUAAAGCUCUGUUAUUAGGGAAGAAAAUAUGUGUAAGUAACUGGGCACAUCUUGACGGUACCGAAUCAGAAAGCCACGGCUAACUACGUG
rnacentral:rRNA from 1 species